UACGAAGGGGGCUAGCGUUGUUCGGAAUCACUGGGCGUAAAGGGCGCGUAGGCGGCCCGCUAAGUCGAACGUGAAAUCCCCGAGCUCAACUCAGGAACUGCGUCCGAUACUGGCGGGCUUGAAUCCGGGAGAGGGAUGCGGAAUUCCAGGUGUAGCGGUGAAAUGCGUAGAUAUCUGGAGGAACACCGGUGGCGAAGGCGGCAUCCUGGACCGGCAUUGACGCUGAGGCGCGAAAGCUAGGGGAGCAAACGGG
rnacentral:rRNA from 1 species